UCUGAACGUUUGACCUCGGAUCAGGUAGGAAUACAACUUGAACUUAAGCA
rnacentral:rRNA from 1 species